GUGUGGGCUGGAAGGCUCUCUGUCUCUCUCUCUGUCUCUCUGUCUCUCUCUCUCUGUCUUUCUCUCUUUGUCUCUGUCUGUCUGUCUUACUCUCUGUCUCUCUCCUGCCCUCCUCCAACUCUGUCUGCUUCCCACGUGCUGACAGGAGGAGCUAUCCCUUUGCUAUGCUCCUGUGCCAGCCUGCCUUGGAGCCAGCCAACCAUGGGAAGACUGAGAUUCCUGACAUGUGAGCCAACAUAAACCUUUCCUGCUCUAGACUGUGGGUGUCUGGUAAGGUGUCUUGUGAUGAGGAAAGUGAUUAAGACAUGUACUAGUGAACAUAAGAAUGUGGAAGAAAAAAUAAAAUGCUUUUCUGAUUUUAUAUAUAAAAAGUGAAGGCAAAGAAAACUUCAUUAUCACACCACCUGAAACUGACCUGUUUUGGAACUUGACUGCUAUCAUUCUAAUUCUGACUUCUCAGAAGAUCAGUUUUAGCUUUGCAAUAGGGAACCUUUGCUGAGUGUCUCUGUUCUAAUCCUUGGCUUGGUCUGUUGGGGCUCAGUGCAGGAGCUUAGUUUAAAGCAAUGGGCUACUAUAAUUUUAUUUAGCAAUAGUAAAAAAGAAACUCUCACAACCCUUCCCCCCUUAGCUCCUUGAAAAUCAUAAAACAAAGAACUUCUAUCUACUGAGAACCACUUAGAAAAUAGCGAAUUACUAAAUGUGGGUUAAAAUUUGUUUUCCUGAGGAAGAUUAUAGAGUGGUGACUAUGAGAGAAAAAUUGAGGCAGUUUUAUAUUUUAUUUUAUUUCUGUGAGAAUGUAAGAAAGAAAAAAAGCAACUAUUUGAGAAGAAAGAAAAAUGAUAUUUAAAGGGGAUAUUAUAAGGGAAGGUUUAUGCUGCAUUGCAUAAUAUAGACUUGUAUUUUUUUUCUUAGGAAACAUUGGGUAAAACCUACAUUGAAAAUAGGAUAUUUCACAAAAGAUGAUCUCUCAGUAACAAAUAAUCACAUGAAAAAGUGUUCAGUGUCCUCAGGAAAAUGAAAAUUAAAACCAGAAUGAAUCUGAGUACAAUGGCACACAUUUGUAACUCCAGUUACUUGGCAGGCUGAGGUAGGAGGAUCACGUGAGCCCAGGAGUUCAAGGGUCUCCCUAUGUGGUUCAGACUGGCCUUCAAUUCACCAUGUAGCCCAGGUGGAACUCAAACUCAUGGCAAUCCUCCUGCCCCAGCCUUCUGAGUGCUGUGAUUACAAGCAUGCACUACCACACCUGACUAAAAUAACAUUUCUUUAAAGGAAAACAAGAAAAUUGCUUAUUCUGAAUCAAAUAUGAGUGACUUAGACCAAGGAUCACAGAUUCAAGUUGUUUUAAGUGAAAUAUUUCAAAGAAGAAGGGAGUUGUAACAACUUUUAUAGAAAACAAUUAUAAAUUAAUAGAUUUAGUGAAUUAUGUUGAUGGAGGUAUUUUGCAGGCUACUUAAGGAAAAGAAGGGAAUUUUUUUUGAAGCAGAGUCUAACUGUAUAGUUCAAGGAUGGCCUUGAACUCACUAUGUAGACCAGGCUGGCUUUGAACUUGUGGUGGUUCUCCCGCCUCAGACUCCCGAGUGCUGGAUAACAGACAUGCGCCAUCAAGCCUGACUAGAGGGAAAAUUUGACAUGCCAUUGUGAGAAGGUUGGUAAAGGAAGGCAUCUGUUCUUUGCCAAGUUUUGAAUAGUUAACCAAGUCAAAUAUACAGAAAAGUAACCUAAUAGUGAUUAAAACGUUAAGUUAGAUAGAAAAGUCAGGACUAAUGUAUUGACUUCUAAAGGUUGCAGUAGCUCUUUUAAGCUCUGGAUGGCUUCUUACCAGUCUUCACAAGCCUGCCUGUUUUACGUCUCCUGUGGAUGGAAGAAGAGCUCACUUAUCUGGAGUUUGCUGGGAGAAUUUCCAUCAUAACAGGAAAGUUUGAUUUUACAUCCCAAACGGGUAGCGACCCAAAUGUUCUACGGCUCAAUGAAAGAACGAAUUAUGGCAUAUCUUAAUGCAAUGGAAAUAGGAAAUAAAUGAUUAUUGCUUACAAUAAAAUAAAUGAACCUCACAGACAUAAAGACACGUGAAGGAAAUAAAAAAUAGUGCAUUCCAUUUACAUGAAGUUCAAGUAUCAAUUAGCAAAUCCACUUGGCGAUACAAGUCAGAAUAGUGGGUUUCUUUUUUGGCUGGCAGGGUACGUAAGAAGGUAGGGUUAGCAUUUUGGGUUGCUGGAAAUGUACUGGACAGUAGUUGUACAGAUACAAACAUUUAAAAAUGUUUGGAGCUUCAUAGCUAAAUAAAUGCUCUUCUCUGUCUAUAAAGCCAACUUUUCUGCUCAGAGCAUAACAACAAUUAUUCUACUGUAUGGAAAGAAACGUCCAAUUCUAGCAUGGAAGAUAAAUCCAAUUAAGAUCAUUGAACCAAAUUGUUGUAAUUUUUACUGUGACAUAUGUCUAAGUUAAAACAAAAAAUAUUUAUAGAUAUUUAUAUUAUUAUUAUUAUUAUCUUUUGCAAUGCUUGGCAUUGAACCCAGAGUCACACUGAUUCGAGGCAAGUGCUAUACCACUGAGCCAUCCCCUCAGUCUCAUAUAGUCUUAAUUGGAUUUAGGUCUGUGCUUUUUGUUAGGUACUUCUAAGACUAAGCUGAUGUGGCCCAAUAAGGCAUGGUCAUGUGUAACAAAGUUACCUUUCCAGAAUUAUUUCCAGCGCUGCCCUAUAUUCCUGACAAAUUUCAUUACUUAUUCUUUCUUUAACCCCCAUCCUUCUUCACCUCUCUGUCUUGCUUAUGUUCUCUGUAUAUUAAUUUUUCAUAAGUUAAAUCAUAUGUUAAAGGGGCCAAAAAUGCUUUCUUUUGAAAGGAAUAAAAUCUUGUUAGGCCUUUCACAGAAUGAAGAAUCUGAAAUAUUGUAUCUUUUACCUUUUGGAUAACCCUAGAUUUUUAUAUAUUGAGCUUACAAAAAAUGAGAACCAGGUGACCUAGAAAUUUUCACUAAUAGUGGUUAACAGUGUGGCGGUCCACUUCCCGAAGUAUGAAGGAGCCAGAGAAAAUAAUUUGGAAAGAAAAAAAUUAUUUAUUAAAGUACAGGCCUGGCGACGCAGCCUCCAGUAGCCAAUAUGGAAGACUGCAUGCCUAACAGCUAAAGGAAAGGAUUUUUAUCCUGUAAAACUGCAAACAUCUGCUGGUCUCACAAUGCCGGGUGUGUGUGUGUGUGUUUCACUGUGCACUACAGAACAGGAACACGUGGGUUACAUUUCUUGGGAAGAGCAAGGUUCAGGUAAGGGUUGGGCUAACAAGCAAGUUUAGAUUAGGCAAACAUCCUGUGGGGAAGUCACAUCCUGCAAACAAGCAAGUUACCCUGCAAACAAGCAAGUUUAGAUUAGGAAGAUAUCCCUUUCUGCUCUUAGAGUUACCUUUGAUCUUUCUCUUGACUUAUGAAGGUUUUUUAUAUAUAUAUAUAUAUAGGUUAUAAUAAACAGCAGUAGUGAAAACAGUUACUCAUGGUAAUUCUUAGAAGGGGCUGAGGACAUAGCUCUGUGUAAAGCAUUACUUCAUAUGUGCAAGGUCCUGACUUUGGUUGUCAGUACCACAUUAAUAAAAGUAACAGUUUUGAAAGCUAAUAUAAAGGAAAGGAAUGAGCAUAGGCUCUGACGUGAGAUGGACAUCAUUUUGUAUUGUUUUUGCCAUUUAUCAAAUGUGAACUCAAGCAUGUUGAUUUGUUACCCGACCCAAGUCUAUCUGUUUGCUAAUCAAAAGUCAAUACUUACAUCUGAGAGUUGGUAGGAAGGAAAUGGAGUGUUAUUUAUGGGCCAGCAUCUAGAGAACAUGGGUGGGGCUAUCAUCCUCCAAAACAAACCCACAUUAGGGAACUCAGUGUGUGAAAAAGCUUUUUGGACAGAGAAAGAACGGUAGAAAGUCUACAUGCUGGGCAGGGUCUCCAUCUGUUAUGGGUUAAGAACUGGUGGUCAACUUAACACCAGCUGGAUUACAUCAGCAUGGCAUUGAGGAAAGUUGCCAGGAGCUCGGGGCCUCCGUGUCGCUGAGGACAGCUGUGGUGCCUUCAGGAUAGCCCUGGUCUUUGUUGUGAGUGUGACUUCUCGGCUCCAGCAUAGAACACUCAUCCCACUAGCACAGCUCCUUCAUCCUGCUGGCAUAGACUUUCUGGCUUCAACCGCUGAUCCUGGGGGCUUCCUGGCACAGAUCCGUAAGAGACUGGCGUGAGUCCUUCUUGUGGGCUCUGGACCUCCAGUUGAACUCGUGGGAGGCAUUGUCCUGAGCUCUGGGUUUUUAUCUGGAUUCAUGUGGGACAUUGCCAUGAGGUUUAGCCUCUUGACUAAAUAAUCUAUGUCUUUGGUGUUUUGGAUAGAUUUCCUGCAUUUUCCUGUGUUAACUCCUGGUGACUAUUAUAAAAAUAAUAUUAUAAACUCCA